GUACUACUGAAGAGUCCCAAAUUAGGACAAAACGACUGUCUAGUAC
rnacentral:hammerhead_ribozyme from 1 species